rnacentral:ncRNA from 1 species
AAAUGAUAAUGGCACACCUAUUGAAAAAUAGGGCCGCAAAGCUAAAGGGGCUAAGGUGUUUUACACUAUGCCAGCCAGUUGCCGAA